rnacentral:rRNA from 1 species
GCUGGUCUGAGAGGAUGAUCAGCCACAUUGGGACUGAAACACGGCCCAAACUCCUACGGGAGGCAGCAGUGGGGAAUAUUGGACAAUGGGCGCAAGCCUGAUCCAGCCAUGCCGCGUGAGUGAUGAAGGCCCUAGGGUUGUAAAGCUCUUUUGUGCGGGAAUAUAAUGACGGUACCGCAAGAAUAAGCCCCGGCUAACUUCGUGCCAGCAGCCGCGGUAAUACGAAGGGGGCUAGCGUUGCUCGAAAUCACUGGGCGUAAAGGGUGCGUAGGCGGGUCUUUAAGUCAGGGGUGAAAUCCUGGAGCUCAACUCCAGAACUGCCUUUGAUACUGAAGAUCUUGAGUUCGGGAGAGGUGAGUGGCACUGCGAGUGUAUAGGUGAAAUUCGUAGAUAUUCGCAAGAACACCAGUGGCGAAGGCGGCUCACUGGCCCGAUACUGACGCUGAGGCACGAAAGCGUGGGGAGCAAACAGGAUUAUAUACCCUGGUAGUCCACGCCGUAAACGAUGAAUGCCAGCCGUUAGUGGGGUUUACUCACUAGUGGCCCAGCUAACGCUUUAAGCAUUCCGCCUGGGGAGUACGGUCGCAAGAUUAAAACUCAAAGGAAUUGACGGGGGCCCC